rnacentral:rRNA from 1 species
CACGCCCUAAACGAUGCUCACUAGGUGUUGGGGAAGCGAUUCCUUGGUACCGUAGCUAACGCGUGAAGUGAGCCGCCUGGGGAGUACGGCCGCAAGGUUAAAACUCAAAGGAAUUGACGGGGACCCGCACAAGCGGUGGAUGAUGUGGAUUAAUUCGAUGCAACGCGAACAACCUUACCUACCCUUGACAUGUCCGGAAGCCUGCUGAAAGGCGGGGGUGCCCGAAAGGGAACCGGAACACAGGUGC